rnacentral:rRNA from 1 species
AGAAACUAACAAGGAUUCCCCUAGUAACUGCGAGUGAAGCGGGAAAAGCUCAAAUUUAAAAUCCCUUCUGGGAGUUGUAAUCUAGAGACGUGUUUUCGGUCGUUGCCUCGGACAAGUCCCUUGGAAUAGGGCGUCAUAGAGGGUGAGAAUCCCGUACUUGCCGAGCUCCCAAUGACUAUGUGAUACACGUUCGAAGAGUCGAGUUGUUUGGGAAUGCAGCUCAAAAUGGGUGGUAAACUCCAUCUAAAGCUAAAUAUUGGCGAGAGACCGAUAGCGAACAAGUACCGUGAGGGAAAGAUGAAAAGCACUUUGGAAAGAGAGUUAAACAGUACGUGAAAUUGUUGAAAGGGAAGCGCUUGAAGUCAGUCGCGUUGCAGGGACUCAGCCGUCAAGGUGCAUUUCUCUGCAACGGGUCAACAUCAAUUUCGGCCGCGGGAAAAGGGCUUGGGGAAUGUGGCAGCUUCGGCUGUGUUAUAGCCUCUUGUCGUACACCGCGGCCGGGAUUGAGGACUGCUAUUACAGGAUGUUGACAAAAUGGCUUUAAGCGACCCG